CCCCUUUAACACCCCGAUAUUUUGCGCUCCUUUGUGCGUGGUCACCAUGGCCAAAUUGGCCACGGCGCCGGUCGCAAACGCUCGCGCUGUGCGUCCCUGCUAUGCCCACUGCUGCUACUGCUCGACCGCUGCCUCUCUCUCUACCUCCCUCGCCUCUCUCUCUCAUGCGCUUGCGCCGCUCGCUUGCGCGGUUGCUGCCGCGGCGCCGGGCCCGCGCACGCGGCCACCCGCCCGCGUGCCCUGCACCGUCGCCCGCCAUGGCCGCGCGGCCACGAGCCGAGCCAACGUGUGCUGCUCCGCCCCGCUCGCCAGCCUCUCUUGCUCGCGCCCGAGCUCCACCAUCGGCUGCUAUGGCCACCGAGAUCCACUUGGCAGUGAAAUCCCACUUCCGGUCAUCAUCUUCGACAACCAAAGGCUAGAAUCGACUUUCCUCGACUCGCUGAAGCUCAUGCUCUCCUCAUUCCAGCGCGUUCCGCGAGUUUCAGCGCUCGUUCCCGAGCCAUGCCGCCGUCGGCAUGCUGCUGCUCGCCGCGAGCCGCGUGCACGUGCCCCUGUGCUGUGCCGCCGAGCGCCCUCACUCCGCCCGGCCUUGCUGAAUCCUUCCAUGGCCGCCCCAUCGUCCUCCCUCGCUGGAGCGCCGCCGAGGUGCUGCUAUCGCCGUCGGCGCCUCUCUGAUCGCCCCAACCCCAACCAAGCCCACCUACAGGUACGCUAGAUAUACAACGCAUGGAGGUGAAACAUAUGAUUUUGGAGCCGAGUCAGAAGACGGUGAAUGGUGGACACAUCUAGAAGAUGGAUGAAUGGAUCCCGAUGUGCAUGACCCAAAGGAAGGUAUAGGAGCUAAUCCGGAUUCACAUCGGUGGGCUCGAUGUGACGCCCUCACGUCUCCAUAGUUAUUGUUUUAUUUCAAAUUAUUUCAGUUGGUUUCUAAUGAAAAUCUUUCUUAGGUUAGACUCUCUCUACCGCUGCUGUUAUCUAUUAUAUGAACUUUAAUUUGUAAAAGUCAUUUUGUAAAUACUUUAAUAUUGUUUACUAUUUUGUAAAAUUGUAUCACGCUGGUACCGUCUGCGCUCGCCGUCGCGCGAGACUUUUGGUGUGUUUCGAUCGGCCUGUGGGUUGGAAACAGACUGUCAGAUUACACUUAAUUAAGCUAAUGCGUCUGAUGCGUUCAAAUAAUGGUCAUUACGGUUAAUUAAGCCGUUUAACUUGGCGGUUCUGUCACACCCCUUAUGUUUCUUAGGAUGCAUUAUUUGCAUUGUUCUUGAAAACGCUUGCUUCUGCAAUUUGACCGCGUUAUUGAAAACUGUCCGUGCAAGCUGCUGUUGCCUCAGGAGCAACCACCUGAGCUGGGCCAAGCUCUUAGAGACGCUGAGCCAGCAGCUGCAGGGGGAGAACUUUGUGCAACAACCAUUGCAAAGUUUAUUGCUAGAUUGACUUUGUGAUUUCAAGCAUUAUCAUGUUGCUGAUUAAAUAAAAUGCAACUAGCAGUUGACAAGAAUUUGCCCAUAAAUGAGGUGAUAUAACAUCCUAAUUUAAUUUCAAAGUCUCAAUACACUGUAAACAUGUACUUCAAGUUAAGCAGAUCAGUCAGGAUGACCCGCAACAUUGUCUUCGCCAAAAGGAGCGGGACCGUGCCCCGUAAAUUGUAGAAAAAAUUAUCCAUAGUACACUGUAAAAAUGUGAUUUUGAAUACUACACAUCGACAAACUCAAUUUAGUAUCCAGCACACCGUGAAAAAAAUAUUUUGGUCUGCUGCACACCAUACUGAAUAAACUAAACAUUUACAACUCAAAGGAGGAUGAAAAAACCAUUUUACCCUUGGGCCCACCUAUCAUCAUUCAUCCUCCCUUCCCCUACGACAUUUGCUAUUGCACCCACAAACUCCGUCUGCCUGUACCCACCCAGCUCCGUCGGCGCAAUCAGUGGUGGUGCGGGAUGUCGGCGCCGGCGGAGGCGGCACGGACCGACAGUGAGGGUCUGCGGCGAGGCGCAGGCCAGCAGCGGCGCAGAACUUCGGUGAGGCGCGGGCUAGCGGCGGCGAGGCCCUUGCGAUCAGUUGUAGACUCGCGGACUAGCGUGUGACGACGGCCGGCACAGUCGUGGGCUCCACGCGGGCGCUCGCUCGACGGGCGGCGCGGUUGCGGCCUCCGCGCGCCAACCAGUAGAGCGGCCACGGGCUCCGCGUGGGCGCUCGCUCGACAGGCGACGCGGCUGCGGCCUCCGUGCGACGACAGGCGGCGCGGUCGCGGGCCUCUGCGCGACAGGCAGCGCGGUCCUGACCUCCACACGGUCGUGCGAUGGGAAGCGCGGUCGCGGGCUCCACGUGACAGGCGGCGGAAUGGAUAAUGUCUGGCACCGCAUAGGAGCAAACGGAGCUACAGAAUGAAUUCAGGGUAUUUUUGUCCUUCUGUCAUUGUUCUUUCACAUUCUUGGAUGUAAAAUGGUUUUAUUGCCGGCGGUGUGCUACAUAUACCAAAUGAUGUUUUGGUGGUGUCUCAAGGACAAAAUCAAAGAGUAGAGUGUGCUACACACCAAACAACGUUUUGAGAAUGUGCCAUGGACAAAAAAAACCUUGAAUUUUAACCACUAUGGUUCAACAAGGAAGGCUGUGAAUGGUGUUGUCAGUGUUCAUGUUGAUGGUCUGGAUAUCACGAGGGCUCACCGUGCGCUCAUCGUUUUGCUGAGUGUACUUCCAAAUGAGGAGAUAGGGAAUUCUGGUCGCGUCGAGUCAUACUACCGCAACCACAUAACUCGUGUUUAUCUUGAUAGCGGUGGCGCGAGUACCGAUAACCCUUUUGUGGACACUCUUUAGUCGAACUGGAGACUACGGCUACGACUAAACAACUGCAAGGGGAAACUAUCCAUUCAGCCUAAAAACAAAAACAAGCCGAUAGAUCAAAGACUACCUCAAGGUCUACUUCCCGAGUCUUGGCUCAUUGUCGAGGAUGAAAGCAGCCAAGUGGGUCUAUUCGGUGGAAGGUCAGAGAAGAAGAAGGGCGAAGGCAUAAUGUAGGCUACACGUAAGCCAAGCUUCGUUAUCAUUGCUUCGUCAUACCAUUACUUGAUUUCAGCUCCAACAGCAAUAUGUCAGCUUCCAAUUUAGUCACACUAGAACCCUGAUACAGCGGUGUCUUCGCAUCCUUUUUCAUCUGCUCUAACUUCUUUAGAUUUUUUGCAUCCAGGAAUUUUGGCUCCCCAUCACGUAUCAUCUGAUCUAGAUCAUCACUUACUUCAUCAUCUGCCAACGUAUCAUUGCCGACUUCAUUGACGGUUUCCUCGACUCUUUCAUGAACUCUUUCAGCGAUAUUCUCAUGCACAGUUUCCUGGACGGUAUCAUGCCGUGAAGCAUCAUGUUGUAAGUUCUCCCCGUCUUCUCCAUGCUUAUUCCAAAUAUUAUGGUUUACCAUAAAACCCCUAACCAAUAGAUAACAACAAAUUUGCUUGAUAUUACGAAAUUGUUUCUGAUUGUGGCAAUCAACACAUGGGCAAUACACAUGGUCAUCAUCUUGUAGCCUAUUGAUGCAAUAUGCCCGAGCGUCUUCACAAAUGAAUCAACACCAUUCACAAAAUUGGGAUCCGGAGCCUUCAAACUAUACAUCCACCCUCGUUCCAUCUAUAAAUAACAAAUCAAUGUAAACUUCAUAUCAAAAUUAAUACAACGAAACAAGAUAUGAAUUGCAUUGAUAUGAAUUGCAUGUGCAUCUAGGUAAUCACCUUAAAACAAGACAUAGAUUUUGCUUCUACCAUUAACAAAAAGCCCCUCCAUCAAAUUCAAACUUGAAAUUCGAAAUCUACCCAAAGGAAAAAAGCAAAGAAUUUAAUGGUUGCUAGUUACUAACCUUAAACCGAGUCCUUGAUAUCAAUACUUCAAAAGAGACCUGAAAUUUUGAAUACCAUGGUGAGAAAUGACUGAAAAAAUGGUGGGAAGAAAUGGAGAACUCGGGUAGGAUGAGGAGGGGGGAGGGUUUAUAAAGGGGACCAUUUUCAGCGCCGGCCCGAGCCACGGACAGGUGGUGAAAAUGGUUUUCACGGCCGGCCCCAUAGUUGUUGGGCUCAGUGGCUCGGGCCGGCGGUGAGAAUGGAAUUCUUUGUGCAUUUCUUAUUUUUACGCACAGUCUAAAGGAGCUAGACUUUUCUCUUUUUUUCGGACUAUUUUCAUGGUUUUCAAUAUCCAUUGCGUCUUCACCAAAUAUGUGCAACCAAGUGAAUCUGGCACUUUUUAUGUGACUAUCCUACCAUGACACUACUACACUACAUGAAGACCCCUUAUGUCAUGAUAUGGCAAGAGGGGAGAGGGCACCCCUACUAUAGGACUCCAUGGCUCAUAUGAUUUUGUCAUAUGUCCAUCUUCUACACACUUCUUUAUAAAAUAUGUAACUUUAGAAUUUUCUUCAUGCUUAUCUAACUGUACAAAUAUCUAGUUUCUAGAGUAUUCCAAAUUUCACCAUGAAGCAUAGCAACCAUGAUUUAUGUAUACUCACUAAUCUUCUAGAAUCUUCUCAUAAGCGUGCAUUGCUAUUUUUAACGCAAAUAUUAAUUAAUUCAUUUGAAACGUCUUCAAAUUUCCAGGUUUAACAAUAGCAUGCAUAUGUCUAGCUUCAAAAGCCAAAACAAGAUCAACAUAAACAUUUCCAUGUUCGGAUACCAAUUAUUCAAGCCUCAGUUAAACAAUACUGACAUGAAAUCUAACAAUAGAAGAAAGAUAACCUAGUAUCUGCAGUGUUACGUCGGGCCAUUGUCUCAAAUACAGCACAUAGCUAAGACUCAACACUAAUUUCCUUAGUGAUGUAAUCACCCUGUCUUCAACCAGUCCAAGCCAGAAUUCAUUGGGAUAAUUCUCCAGGCUGAAAGUUAAGGAAAUAAAAGAUUGCAAGCUAUUAGCAACUUUAGCGGACUUUACCAUGCUCCGGUAGUUUGAACUUUGAUGAUUGAAUAGCUAACUGAUAUAAAUAUCUUAUGCACCUCCAAAACAGAUAUGGUUACCAAGGCAAACAGAUAUAAAAGAUGUAAAGUUUCAAUAUCCCAUCGUAUUUCCUAAUUAAGCUAUCCCACUUUCAAAGUCUCUGUUGCAGUAAGUGGAUGAUAUUCGUGUUGCAGUAAGUGGAUGAUAACUAUUAACUAGGUUUGAAUAAGAUAGAAAAUUAUAACACGCCAGUCACAUGGUGCUGUUCAAGAUUGCACAAUGCCAUGAGGACUUGCAGUUCAAGAUUGCACAAUGCCAAUCACACGUUGCUCUACGGAGUCAUCUCAUUCCCAUUGCAAAUGCACUGAGGACUUGCUGCCUCAGUGCAGCAGCGGUAGGGCAAUAUCACUCUACCUCCAUCAUGGGCCAACUUGCUUGGACUGCGAGUCUGAACACCCUCUUGGACCUCAGCUGAUCUGCAGAUUCACCCUCCAGUGUCUGACAACGCUGAACUACUCCAUCUUUCGCUUCAACAGGUUCAGUUCAGCGACAGAUUCCCGAAUCCCGAUUAGAGCUUGCCUUCCUUGCAGACCUUGAUGAAGAUGUAGCAGCUUGUUGGCCCAUGACACAGGGGUAUUGGGCUGCAGUUUCAAAUGAAAGGUAAACUAUACUUACAUCCUAAAUGCAGACCUAACUGGUAUUUAAAAUAUAUCCUAAGAACAUACAUAAUUAUGGAAACAAAAUGAAAAUUGAAUAUGUACAAGUGCAACAAUAGUGACCCAUGUUACUGGAUCAGAAUUUAGUAAGACGCUUAGCAGUACAUUUGACUAGGUCCUGUAAUAAAAAUGUAAUAUAGCACAUGCAGGAACAUCGUGAACAAGGGGGUGCCCGCAUACGCACCUGAAUGGUGAGUCCUUUGACCUAUCAGAGGAGACCUGAACAAAACAAGAAACCUGAACGUGUGGGUGCCCGGAGCAGAAACAACCAAAGAGAAAUCCAACCUCUUUAAAUACCUCUUUUGAAGAAAGGAAGCAGCAACGACAUGUGCCGCGAUACGGCUGUGACGAACUGACGAGUCAUACUCAUACUGUCAUACUAGAGGGAAGUGUACCGGGGAACAACCGAGGUAGGAUGGAAGAUGCAGUGAGGCAAGCGUGCCAACUUGGGUUUGAGCUCAGGGCAGUUGGCAACCAAGUACAUACUCCACUGCCUUGGGCUUGGUGCUCUGAUAUAGCAUUGAGGCCCUAGAACAUAAGAAAGAAAUCAAUCCACGGAAGCAAGAUGAAAUUGUUACACGCGUUGCGGGUUUGCGUUGCUCGAAAAAAUUCAGUAUCGAUCAGUCAGUGGCCAUCCGAAAAUCAUAGAAAUUCCCAAGGAAGGCACGGGUAAUCUGAAGCAAACUAUGAGGUAGGGACGCACCUGAUGUGGUCGGAGCGCUAGGUGAGUAGCACCCGACGGCAAGCGUGGUUGAGGGAAUCGUAGAGGCGUUGAAACAGCGCGUCGACAGCGCGGGUUAGGGUCUUGCCGGAGGCAAGGUUGGCAAUGACACGGAAGACGAUGAUGUAGCGGUGGAGCAUAUCGGCCUCGCGGCUGCAGUCGCGGAGAUUGAGGAAUUCGAAUGCGUAGUACGAGGCGGCGACGCCUGAGCAUGGAGAUGAGGCGGCGGAAGCGGAAGGCCGAGAGAUCGCCACCGGGUCGCUUCGUCAUCGCCGCUGGGUGGGAGAGGAAGAUGAAGCGAGAAAGAGGGAAAAGGCCGGCCUCUUGCCAAGGUCACCAAAACGACCCAAGUUAUUGGGCCAUUUGUUUGGAUCACCCAUGGGCCAUAGAAGUGGGCCUGCGUGUGUGCGUGAACCAAUCGCCCAGCCCACCAAUCUUGCCUUGCUUCCUUUUGCCUUUGCCUGUGCCUCCAUCAGGUGGGCCAGGCCUUCUUCUCUGCUGACAUGGAUACUGAGAACAAGGAUCAGUGAAAACGGCAUUGCUGUACAGUUUUCACCCGCCACUGCCCUUUUUUAAUACUUAAUUAAUUACCCAUUACCCAUCCUCCCCCUAGUACUUACUGCUCGCUCCACCAAGGAUUACUGAAGGAGGAAUUCUUCAACCGGUCUGCCCGAGUAUUUCAGUGCGAUCAUCACCAGUAUCCCCACAACUGCAUUUCCCUAGAUAUGAUUCACACUUUUAGUUCUAACAAGAAAGCAAUGAGUUCAUUUCAGAGCACAUCAAGGAAGGACUGCUGAGCUGCCGUGGACCCCUGGCAGCGAUUGGGUACUUGUACAUGCAAGGUUUGCAGAAUGGAAUCCCCAUGGCAACACAGCAUGCAGCAAACUCGCAACCCCCUAAUAUCGUCUGCUUAGCUUGCCCGAGUGCACUCUUCUCAACCCAGAAAUAGGGAGAUGGGCAACGAGCACUGGAGGCCAAACAGGUGUGCUGUUUCCUACUCCUAGUACAUAAUUGAAGGGUAAUUAAGCAGGGAAAUUCGUGUCCCGGAACGGAGCAUUGCCCAUCCGAGCGACGUGGCCGAGGACUGGGAGAUACACGAUUCGUGGCCGGCAAUGAGAGAGCACAUGCGUGUCAAUCCCAGCCCGGGAGAGAGGACGCACAUGGAUGGAUGGACGGAAACAGAAGGAAGGAUGCACAAGAAAUUAAGAGUUCAGUAGCAGUCUAUUCUGGCGGUCAACUGGUCAAGAUGGAACUCUGCAUCAGGCGCGACACGAUGUGAUCUGCAGCUCCGCUUCAGCUCACAUGCAGAUGCAGCUGGCGAUGCUAGAAGCUAGAUGCAUAAUUCCUGCACACGCAUCUGUGCAGCAUUGUUUUUUUUUUAAAAAAAGUUCACUGGAUUUGUAUCCCAAAAAGGUCAAAUGAUGCAGAAUUCUACAGCCUACAGGCUAGAGAAACUGCUACCCAUCUAUUAAUACUCGAAUAACCCAGUUGACCUAA